UUUCUUCAGUCUGAAGCAACAUUUAGUACAUAGACACGAACUGCGCUCAGUCAAAUUGAAUGCUUAUUUUUCAGUACCUGUCUUGCAAUGAUAUAAAUCCAGAGUGUUGGUAAAGCUGGUAGAUGGAGAGUCAAACGGGAUGAAAGUUACGAUUUAUAGCUGGAUUGGGCAGAAUGUAUCCUAUCUCAAACUCAGCUAGCUGCUUACAUAAGCUUUCCGUAUCUUCCUUUGUCGUCUCUAUUGGCAUUCAGUGAUUGAAAUCAGCCAGAACAGAGAGAGGGAGGGUGUGUUCUGCUCCAGCUGCUGUCCCUUCUACUCCAGCAACCAUUCAGAUUCGAGAUUGUUAUUGUGGAUUUGUGAGUUUAUGAUGUUUGUAUGCCUCUAGUUGGCACUAGAGAAGACUUUGUAUUUCCUUUUUGAUAAUAGUGAAAGAUUAAUGGACUACGGUCCCGUGGUUUUUACUCCUCACAUCGGGGAGGUUUUCCACGUAAAAAUUUGGGUGCAUUGAUCCUUAAUUUUCCGUAUAUAUUUGUAGCUUUGAUUAUAUUCACUCAAGAAAGAAAAGAAAUUU